rnacentral:lncRNA from 1 species
AAAACCAAACACUGCAUGUUCCCACUCAUAAGUGGGAGCUGAACAAUGAGAACACAUGGACACAGGGAGGGGAAACAUCACACACUGGGGCCCGUCAAGGGGUUGGGGGCUAGGGGAGAGAUACUAUUAGGAGAAAUACCUAAUGUAGAUGACGGGCGGAUGGGUGCAACAAACCUGCACAUUCUGCACGUGUAUCCCAGAACUUAGAGUAUAAUUUGAAAAAGAAAAAGGAAUGAAUGAAGAUGAGUGACAAGUAACAAUGUCAACAGAUUUUAUUCUUUUUGGUGACAAAGUAAAUGUACCCAUACUCCCUAAGACCCACUGUUUGAUCAGGAGGAAGGCAAAAAGCAUUCUAAUCUUUCAUCACAAUGCCCUUCAGAAACAUCAGCGUGUGUGCAUGCAUAUAUUGUUAUCUUUUGAAACUAAUAAAAAUCAGUCACUGAGGAAACAUAAAACAACCACCAAAGGUAGAGCUGUUCUCAGUCUGCAAUGCUCACCAUGAGCAGAGACGUACGGUGAUGUACAAAAACUUACCAGGCAGAACCCACAGACCAUAUAAUCUUCACAAAAGCUAGAAAAACCAGUUUUGGACAAUGUGACAUUUUACAGAACACAUUCAAGUUGGUACUGUCAUGAGGGGAAACCCCCAUAAACCAAAAGUUUCAUGCAGAGCAUGAUUUUGGAAAGGACAGAGAAUAGUAAGAUACAAUCUAUUGGAUGCAGUAACAUUUCUGCUAAUGUGAAAGUCCAGUCUAUAUUAUUGAAUGAACAAUAACCCAAAGGAGAGCUACAUUUUAUUAGGUUAAGAAAAUGGAAAUGACUUUGUGCUUUUCUCAAUAUGAAUAUUAAAUAUAUACAUAUAUAUAUAAAUCCCUUUCACCAAUUUGGUUAUAUGAUCAAACUUAACAACCAACCACUAAAAGAUACUGCCAGCACAUGGGCAUCCAAAUCUUAGGAUUAUUUUGUGAAAUUGUACAGGACACAGAGAAAGAGAGGAAGAAAUUUUCAAUCAAGCAAAUUUAGCAAGAUUUGGCAGACUCAGUUGCGCAGAUCGGUUGAAAUUUGGUCUUCCAUUAUUACUGUAUCAUUUACUCUUGUGUCAUCUAAGGACAACCUUCUAACUAAGACUCUCUUAUGCUGCAAAUGAUUAUAAUUUAAGGACCGUGAGUGUAUAAAAUAAGCUAUUAUAUAUGUAUAUAUAAAAUAUACUCUAAUAAAUACAAAAUAAAGAGUGUAUGCAUUAAAGAACCACUUGUGAACUCUUGGAGCAUGGGGGUAGCAACCAGCUACUUAUACACCUAUAGUAGUAUGUAUAUCAUCAUCUAACUAGGUUUUCUUGAUAAAGUUUUUACUGUGGAACCUCAAAAUUGUUAUUAAGACUUUUUUCUAUCUCAAUUUCUUUUCCCUGAUUUACAUUAGGUAUACAGAUAAGGAAGAAAAAUAAUUAUCAGUCACUUAACUACCUUGGAGUUUCAAUAGUGAAUUCUUUGGUUUUUGAAUGUUAGAAUCUUUAAUAAUGAGGUAAUUAUAGCUCUUUGGCCAUUUAAUCUUCAUCUUCUAAAAUUUAGUCAUUGUCUUGCAAGAAGUUGUGCCUUUUUCCUGAGGUGUAAUUUGUGCCAUGAAAACUCACCUUAAAGGAGAAAAAGCUCCAGCAGAGAAUAUAAUACUCAUCAGGGCACUGUUUUCUCAUUUAUAUGAUAUAAAGAACUAAUUUGUGAAUGCAUGGGGCCAAGAAGGGAAGAUGUCACAGAAAAAAUUCCUUCAUUUGGUGACUCAAUGUAUUCAGACUGGGUCAUAUCAAAUGGUAAUGUUGAAAUUAGACAUUUUACAUAACAAUUAAAAUUAUUUACAGACAUCUCUACUUGGAUAUCCCAAAGGGAACCCAAUCCUAACAUGUUUAAAACUGAACUUCCCCAGCUCCUUGCCCCUCCCCCAGAGAGAGAAAGAGGAAAGAGAGAGAGGCCUCUACUCCUCUUGUGCUCCUGAUUUCAACAUAAUGCACCACCUCCCUAACCACACAACCCCAGUCAGACCCUCAUCCCCUCUCACGUGGCUGUUACCAACGCCUCCUGACAUUCCUGUCUUACCUCUCCCCAACCCAUCUUUCACACAGUUCCUAGAGUGAUAGUAAGUAAUAUUUAAUGAUAUUUUCUAAUCACAACAGUAAUUUGGUUCAUUGAAGUAAAUUUGAAAAAUACAACAAAAUCACAAAAAUGAAAAUCUCACUACUCAUUGAUAUUCACCAUUAACAUUUUGGUAUCUUUUCAGCAUGUUUGUGAUAAUGUGUGCAUAAUUUUGGAGGAGAUGGAGUCUCGACACGUUGCCCAAGCUGUUCUCAAACUCCAGGGCUUGAACAAUCUUCCCACCUUGGCCUCCCAAGGCACUGGAAUUACAGGUGAGGCACCAUGUCUGGCUUGUUUAUUUUUAUUAUGUAAUAUUCCAUGUACAAAUAUAACAAGAU